GAAUUAAAUUUUCUUAAUUUCGCAAUAGAAAUUAAAGUAAGUCUGUUCGACUUUUAAAAAUUUACAUGAUUUGAGUUCAAACCGGUGUAAGCCAGGUUGGUUUCUAUCUUUUUAUAUUAUCUUCUAGUACGAAAGGACAAAAAAUAAUAUUUUAAAUUUAUAUUUGGCAGAUAAUUGCAUUAGAAUUAGAAUCUAAUUAUACUUUUAUCUAUUUACUUAAUUCUAUUUUUCCUAUAAUUAGAAUUUUAAUUAGAGUAGCUUUCUAUAC
rnacentral:rRNA from 1 species